rnacentral:rRNA from 1 species
CCCUACGGGGUGCAGCAGGCCAUGGAGAUCCAGCGACGCCAACAGGAAGAGGCCCAGCGUCAGCAGGCCAUGGAAAUCCAGCGACGCCAACAGGAAGAGGCCCAACGUCAGCAGGCCGUGGAGAUCCAGCGACGCCAACAGGAAGAAGCCCAGCGACAGCGAGCCAUGGAGAUCCAACGGCGCCAACAAGAGGAGGCUCAACGACAACAACAAAUGCAACAGCAGCAGCAACAGCAACAGCAACAGCAACAGCAAUCCAACCAAAGGAGGAGAACGCCACAAGAAGAAGAGCAGCUUCAAGGCCUACAAAGAUGAACCAUCCUGUUCGACCCUUGCGCACCAUCUUUCCCGCUGUCUGGCCUGUCGCCGGGCGGCCGCUCUCAACCCUUACAAAAUGAAUGGGCGGGGGGGC